AUGUGGGGACGGAGAAGGUUAGGUCAGCCGGGUGUUGGACGUCCCGGUUUAAGCGUGUAGGCGUGCCCCUUAGGCAAAUCCGGGGGGCUGAGCUGAGGCGUGAUGACGAGGAACCACGGUUCCGAAGUGAUUGAUACCAAGCUUCCAGGAAAAGCCACUAAGCUUCAGUCUAGAGUUGACCGUACCGCAAACCGACACAGGUGGGCAGGAUGAAAAUUCUAAGGCGCUUGAGAGAACUCAGGAGAAGGAACUCGGCAAAUUAACACCGUAACUUCGGGAGAAGGUGUGCCCCGGUAGCGUGUAGAGACUUGCUCCCGAAGCGCGAUGGGGUUGCAGUGAAAUGGUGGCUGCGACUGUUUAAUAAAAACACAGCACUCUGCAAACACGAAAGUGGACGUAUAGGGUGUGACGCCUGCCCGGUGCCGGAAGGUUAAGUGAUGGGGUGCAAGCUCUUGAUCGAAGCCCCGGUAAACGGCGGCCGUAACAAUAACGGUCCUAAGGUAGCGAAAUUCCUUGUCGGGUAAGUUCCGACCUGCACGAAUGGCGUAACGAUGGCCACACUGUCUCCUCCUGGGACUCAGCGAAGUUGAAAUGUUUGUGAAGAUGCAAUCUACCCGCGGCUAGACGGAAAGACCCCCUGAACCCUUACUGUAGCUUUGCAUUGGACUUUGAACCGGUUUGUGUAGGAUAGGUGGGAGACUGUGAAGCCGGGACGCUAGUUUCGGUGGAGUCAACCUUGAAAUACCACCCUGAUUUGUUUGAGGUUCUAACCUUGGUCCGUGAAUCCGGAUCGGGGACCGUGCAUGGUAGGCAGUUUGACUGGGGCGGUCUCCUCCCAAAAGGUAACGGAGGAGUACGAAGGUACGCUUAGGGCGGUCGGACAUCGCCCACAAAGUGCAAUGGCAAAAGCGUGCUUGACUGCGAGACCCACAAGUCGAGCAGGUACGAAAGUAGGUCAUAGUGAUCCGGUGGUUCUGUAUGGAAGGGCCAUCGUUCAACGGAUAAAAGGUACUCUGGGGAUAACAGGCUAAUUCCUCCCAAGAGUUCAUAUCGACGGGGGAGUUUGGCACCUCGAUGUCGGCUCAUCACAUCCUGGGGCUGUAGUCGGUCCCAAGGGUAUGGCUGUUCGCCAUUUAAAGUGGUACGCGAGCUGGGUUUAAAACGUCGUGAGACAGUUUGGUCCCUAUCUGCCGUGGGCGCUGGAAAUUUGAAGGGGGCUGCCCCUAGUACGAGAGGACCGGAGUGGACGAACCUCUGGUGUACCGGUUAUGACGCCAGUCGUAUCGCCGGGUAGCUAAGUUCGGAAGAGAUAAACGCUGAAAGCAUCUAAGCGUGAAACUCGCCUUAAGAUAAGAUUUCCCGGAGUCUUGAACUCCCUGAAGGGUCGUCGAAGACCGCGACGUUGAUAGGUCAGGUGUGGAAGCGCAGCAAUGCGUUAAGCUAACUGAUACUAAUUGCCCGUGCGGCUUGAUCC
rnacentral:rRNA from 1 species